CCAGACUCCUACGGGAGGCAGCAGUGGGGAAUAUUGCACAAUGGGGGGAACCCUGAUGCAGCGACGCCGCGUGGGCGAGGAAGUAUUUCGGUAUGUAAAGCCCUAUCGGCAGGGAAGAAGAAAUGACGGUACCUGAAUAAGAAGCACCGGCUAAAUACGUGCCAGCAGCCGCGGUAAUACGUAUGGUGCAAGCGUUAUCCGGAUUUACUGGGUGUAAAGGGGGCGCAGACGGCGAUGCAAGCCAGGAGUGAAAGCCCGGGGCCCAACCCCGGGACUGCUCUUGGAACUGCGUGGCUGGAGUGCAGGAGGGGCAGGCGGAAUUCCUGGUGUAGCGGUGAAAUGCGUAGAUAUCAGGAGGAACACCGGUGGCGAAGGCGGCCUGCUGGACUGCAACUGACGUUGAGGCCCGAAAGCGUGGGGAGCAAACAGGAUUAGAUACCCGUGUACCC
rnacentral:rRNA from 1 species